GAUUAAGUUAUUAAGGGCGCACGGUGGAUGCCUUGGCACUAGAAGCCGAUGAAGGACGUUACUAACGACGAUAUGCUUUGGGGAGCUGUAAGUAAGCUUUGAUCCAGAGAUUUCCGAAUGGGGAAACCCAGCAUGAGUUAUGUCAUGUUAUCGAUAUGUGAAUACAUAGCAUAUCAGAAGGCACACCCGGAGAACUGAAACAUCUUAGUACCCGGAGGAAGAGAAAGAAAAUUCGAUUCCCUUAGUAGCGGCGAGCGAAACGGGAAGAGCCCAAACCAACAAGCUUGCUUGUUGGGGUUGUAGGACACUCUAUACGGAGUUACAAAGGACGACAUUAGACGAAUCAUCUGGAAAGAUGAAUCAAAGAAGGUAAUAAUCCUGUAGUCGAAAAUGUUGUCUCUCUUGAGUGGAUCCUGAGUACGACGGAGCACGUGAAAUUCCGUCGGAAUCUGGGAGGACCAUCUCCUAAGGCUAAAUACUCUCUAGUGACCGAUAGUGAACCAGUACCGUGAGGGAAAGGUGAAAAGCACCCCGGAAGGGGAGUGAAAUAGAACCUGAAACCGUGUGCUUACAAGUAGUCAGAGCCCGUUAAUGGGUGAUGGCGUGCCUUUUGUAGAAUGAACCGGCGAGUUACGAUUUGAUGCAA
rnacentral:rRNA from 1 species